rnacentral:lncRNA from 1 species
UUUAAAACAAAAAAAAAAUCACUUUCUGCCAUAUUUAUAAAAAAACAAAACUUAUGAACCCUAGCCUCCUCUGCUAGGGUUCCAACAGUCAACCGCCGCAUCCCCUUCAACCCCGAUCUGAUCGGAGCAAAUGGGGUUUCUCGUCUCCUUCCCGCAAGUAAGUAUUCCUUUUCUUCCUUUUUGUGUAUUUAAAAAAAUGAAAAAAAGAUUCGGGUAAAAUAAAUAGAAAAGAAACUGAAGUUCGAAAAAAACUAUCAACCUUUUGAUUUUUUGAUUGAUCUUUGCUCUUUGGUACUUUAUUUGCUAUGAAAAUAAUAACUUUUUUUUUGUAUUGAUUUUUGAUCCCCAUUACAGUAUCGUCAAUGGCUUUAUAUAGCCAUAAUAUAUAAAAAAUAUAGAAAUAAAAUCAUGUUUACAUUGAUUUGAUUCUCAAUCUCUUGAUUUCCUUCCAUAUUUUGCUUUCUUUCCUUGUUGUGCAGGUGAAGAUCGGGUGGAGGUGGCUUGCGGCGCUGUUGAUCCUCAAAAACCCUAGGGUUUCCUCAUCCGUUUUGGACCACUGUAUUUGGGCCAUAUUCGAAAUUGGGCCACUAUUUUAAAUCGGUUUGGGCCUUUUACUCGGGACAAAAUCGGAUAUUACAGAUGGUAUUAUCUCUGAAAGAGGGUUUCGUUUCCUCUGCUUUGUCGAGAUUCAGAAUGCCACAAGUGGUUGCCCUAAAGGCUUGGUUCAUAGAGCUCAAGUGGUACCAUAUGUCCUAACAAAUGACCUAUACAACAUAGGUGAGGAGUUCAAACCCCACUGAAGAAGAAUUGCUCUUGCUUCUCUUUCUAUCUGUCUUCCUCUCAUUUUCUUAACCUUGUCACUUUGAUGUAUUGUUUGGUUGUGUUUUGCCUUGAUCUAUUUUGUUGUGUUCCUGUGAUGUUAAUACAUAGAUUUUAAGGUUUUCAGCGCAACAUAAAUAUUGUGACUAGUAAUUUGAGUAAGGAAUAAUUACAACAAACGGAAAAGCCAA